UCGUCUGGAUAAUAUAAUAAUAAUAUAUACGCUGUUCGUUGCUUGGAUCGAUCGAAGCCACAAAAAUUCAAGAAAGAUAAAUGUGUGAAUUUUUUCUUCUCCCUCAUGGCCAUGGAAUGAGUUUGAGAAGAAAAGCAAAGGAAGAAAAGAUAGAGAGAAAUGGCUUUGCUUCCUAAAUUCUCCUCUCCUCCUUUCCCGGGCCUGCAAAAGCCUUCCCAUAGGCUGCCCUGUUCGCCCCCCGCGGCGUUCACCAAGCUCGACCUCCCCCCUCCCUCCCUCAGCCUCGACGCCGUGCAGGAGAAGAAGCCGCUCUCGCUGCCCCACGGGCCCCCCUUCACCGCCACCGGCGGCGGGAGCGGCGGCGGCAGCGGAAACGGCCACAGGAGCGAGUUCUACCUCAACGUCGGCCUCGCCGUGAGGACUCUCCGCGAUGACCUGCCCACCCUCUUCGCCAGAGACCUCAACUACGACAUCUAUCGGGAAGACAUCGUCUUCAUCGAUCCGCUUAAUACCUUUCAUGGCGUCGAGAACUACAGGCUCAUUUUCUGGGCGGUGAGGUUUCACGGCAAAAUUUUGUUUAAAGAGAUAAAGCUCCGGAUUUUCCGGGUAUGGCAGCCGUCGGAAAACAUAAUCUUGAUCCGGUGGGAGCUGGAGGGCGUGCCGAGGGUGCCGUGGGAGGCUCGGGGAACUUUCCAGGGGACGUCGUGGUACAAACUGGAUAGGAACGGCAAGAUCUACGAACACAAAGUCGAUAACGUGGCUUUGAAUUUUCCACAAGCGCCGAUCAAGCCCGUCACCAUGAUGGAUUUCGUGGCGGCUGCAUGUCCUCCGAGUCCCAACUUGACGUUCUCUGCCGGUCUGCCGGAGGAGAACUCCUCUUGGAGAUACUCCUCCUGGUCGGAGCUCUACAGGGCAGUGAGGAGCACGCUUGAACUGGAAGGAAAAUUUCCAGAGUUCAUAGGCAUCGAAGGUCUGGUUACUUGUUCAUAGCGUGGACAAUUGGGGGUAGCUGGAUAAAGAAAUAUGAGAUCAGAAAGGGAGAUCAUGGUCUAACAUUAUUGCUUGUGCCAUGAACAGAAUCAAAAGGUCACAGAUCGUAGAUCCUUCCACUGUAUGCAGCUAGAGGAACUGUCAAAGUGUACAAGUUAGUUGGCAAUGCUAGCAUUUUAUUUGUAGUGAUGUAAUCCAUACAUUUAGGGAUACAGAAGAAUGAAAUUUGCACUUCACUGUGUUCUUCAA